GAUGCUGACAGGCGAGCACAUUUGACGUGUCCUUUAAAUUCUCCUCCUUUCUCAUCACCUGCGCUAAUAAAUUUAUAAAAGAAAAAAAGGAAAAGAAAAUCGGAGGGCAGGUGGUGCAGCGUGGACUGAGAGUGAGAUUCUCACUGGAAAUGAAGAUGGAUGGAAUUAGAUCUAUGCUCCUUGUUUGUAUAAUCUUACUGUUGGUCGCAAAAGGCACAGUCGGAAGUCGUAAGAGUGGAAAGUCUUCUCUGUCUUCGGUUUUUUCUUUGUUCAAUCUUAAAGAAAAGAGUAGGUUUUGGAGUGAGGCUAUUAUACGUGAAGAUUUCCAUGAUUUAGAAACCACCAGCCCUGCUUCGAUGGGUGUUCACAACUACACCAAGGCAGGUAACAUUGCAAAUUACCUAAACCUUAUGGAAGUAGAGUCUUUGUACCUUCCAGUUCCUGUCAAUUUCAUUUUUAUAGGAUUUGAAGGAAAAGGGAACCAAGAGUUCAAGCUUCAUCCUGAAGAACUAGAGCGAUGGUUCACCAAAAUCGAUCACAUCUUUGCACAUACACGAGUUCCGCGAAUUGGAGAGCUCCUCACACCUUUUUACAAAAUUAGCAUAGAUAAAAUGCAACAUCACCAUCUUCCCAUCACCAGUCAUAUAAAUUACAAUUUCUCUGUCCAUGCCAUACAAAUGGGUGAAAAGGUGACUUCUAUCUUUGAGCAUGCCAUCAAUGUUUUAGCCCGCAGAGAUGAUGUAUCAGGUGACAGGGAUGGAACUGAUUCUCUUUGGCAAGUAGAUGCAGACAUGAUGGAUGUUCUUUUCACCAGCCUUGUUGAAUACCUGCAGCUUGAAGAUGCAUAUAACAUCUUCAUUUUGAAUCCCCAUCCUGAUGCAAAAAGAGCUAAAUACGGCUACAGGAGAGGUUUAUCUGAGUCAGAAAUAGCUUUUCUGAAAGAGGAUAAGAGUCUGCAAAGUAAAAUUCUUCAGUCGGGGCGUAUUCCAGAAAGUGUUCUUGCUCUUGAUAAGAUUAAGAAACCUUUAUAUGGAAAGCAUCCUAUGGCAAAGUUUGCAUGGACAGUUACAGAAGAAACUGAUACGGUGGAAUGGUACAAUAUUUGCUUAGAUGCACUGACCAAUGUUGAGAAGUUGUAUCAAGGAAAGGACACAGCUGAAACCAUUCAGAGUAAAGUUUUGCAGUUAUUAAACGGGAAGAAUGAAGAUAUGAAGCUUCUUCUUGAAAGGGAAUUAAGGUCUGGGGAGUUCAGUGACCACCAUGCAGAAUGUCUAACAGAUACAUGGAUUGGAAAGGACAGCAGGUGGGCUUUUAUCGAUUUGACUGCUGGACCUUUUUCGUGGGGACCUGCUGUUGGUGGAGAAGGUGUGCGAACAGAAUUAAGUUUGCCAAAUGUGGGAAAGACCAUAGGUGCUGUUGAAGAAAUUUCUGAAGAUGAAGCUGAAGAUCGCUUGCAAGAUGCAAUUCAGGAAAAGUUUGCUGUAUUUGGUGAUAAAGAUCAUCAGGCAAUUGAUAUUCUUCUAGCGGAGAUUGAUAUCUAUGAGCUUUUUGCUUUCAAGCAUUGCAAAGGAAGGAGGGUCAAGCUUGCUCUUUGUGAAGAGCUUGAUGAGAGAAUGCGGGAUUUAAAAGAUGAACUUCAGUCAUUUGAAGGUGAAGAGUAUGAUGAAAACCACCGGAGGAAGGCUAUAGAUGCUUUAAAACGAAUGGAGAACUGGAAUUUGUUCAGUGAUACUCAUGAGGAUUUCCAAAACUACACAGUUGCUCGGGAUACUUUCCUUGCGCACCUUGGUGCGACCCUGUGGGGAUCUGUGAGACACAUCAUAUCUCCUUCAGUUGCUGAUGGUGCUUUCCAUUAUUAUGAGAAGAUUUCGUACCAAUUGUUUUUCAUCACGCAAGAGAAAGUUCGACAUAUUAAACAAUUGCCAGUGGACCUAAAGGCUCUCCAGGAUGGGCUUUCCUCUUUGUUGAUACCUUCACAGAAAGUCAUGUUCAGUCAGGAUGUGUUAUCACUUUCAGAGGAUCCUGCUUUGGCAAUGGCAUUUUCUGUGGCACGACGAGCAGCAGCUGUCCCACUUUUGCUUGUCAAUGGAACAUAUAGGAAAACUAUUCGUUCCUAUCUUGAUUCUUCAAUUCUCCAGUAUCAGUUGCAGAGGCUGAAUAAUCAUGGAUCUCUCAAAGGAUCACAUGCUCAUAGCCGGUCCACCCUGGAAGUUCCGAUCUUUUGGUUCAUUCAUACUGAUCCAUUGUUACUGGACAAACAUUAUCAGGCCAAGGCGCUUUCUGAUAUGGCUAUUGUUGUCCAAUCAGAGUCCUCAUCCUGGGAGAGCCAUCUGCAGUGUAAUGGAAAAUCACUUUUGUGGGAUUUAAGGAGGCCCGUCAAACCUGCUUUGGCUGCUGUUUCUGAACAUCUGGCUGGUUUGCUUCCCCUUCAUUUUGUCUACAGUCAUGCCCAUGAAACUGCAAUUGAGGUUUGCCAGUUUUAUAUGAUUGGAUAUGGUCGGUGGGUUGCAACCCUUUCUCCAUUACUUCUCAAGGUUGGCACAUAUCAAAAUUUCAAUCAGAUGCGAUGGCUCGGAGCUACAUCAUCACAACUCUUGAGGAGUCGAUACAACUGGUCAAUUCAGCCAUUCACCUUCUACUCUGGGAGCGUACAACUGAGAAAACAUUUAAACUCUUUCAAUCCCAGGAGCGUGAGCUAGUGAACAAGUAUAAUUAUGUUGUCAGCUUGUGGAGAAGAGUUUCAACCAUUGCUGGAGAAUUGCGUUAUGUAGAUGCCAUGAGACUGCUGUAUACCUUAGAGGAAGCAACCAAAGGGUUUGUUGAUCAAGUCAAUGCAACCAUAUCCCUUCUUCACCCGAUUCAUUGCACAAAAGAGAGAAAAGUACAUGUGGAGUUUGAUGUGACAACAAUUCCUGCUUUCUUGAUUGUUCUUGGUGUUCUAUAUAUUGUGCUAAAGCCAAGGCGACCAAAACCUAAAAUCAACUGAGCUAAAAUGUAGCUGAUGUCAUGGUCGCAAAAUAGUAGCAGCAAUUGUCUCAAAGCUUGUUGUAGAUUUCUAAUGAAGAACAAAAGUUUUCCCCUGAUAAUCACACAUAGUUUGAUGUACACAGGUUAUCAUUCGCCAUAGCAAAGCUGUUAGAAAUGAUAGUUGAUCAGAGAAAGAAUAGAAAUGAGAAAGUGGCAAAAUGGUGAGCACACCAAAAGCAUAUAGCUGCAGUUGCUUCUCAGUUUUUUGUAUUGUUCUUUUCAUUAAACCUAGAAUAUUGAUCUAAGCAUUGUCAUUUGUAACAUGCGUAAAGAUAUUGCCAAGAGACAGCAGCUUUAUGUGUAAUACUCAUUUGUCACUGGUGAGGUAUCAAAACUGAAAAAUUUUCCAAGCUUU